GGUUUUCCAGACUGGUAGAGGCUUGAAGUGAGGAGGGGAUGUGUGUGUCCCCUGGAGGUGCUGAUUCAGCAGAGAAAAAGAAAACACCCCCCAUUUUGCUGAGCCCCAGCAGGGUGAACAGAGGGAAAAGGUGCUCCAGGGCAGGAAGAAACUGUGAAGAAAUAGGUUUGGACAAGAGUUGAAGGAUUGUAUGCCCAACUGAACCUACUACUGAAAGCAAUGAGCUGGAUGAGCCCUCUCCCUCGCCUUGCUAUAUAGGAUGGGCGAGCAACACCUACCCGAGUACCACACGGCUUCCUCCAGGAGGCUGGGAGCUGUGCUGGAGCUCGCCCAUCUGACCCAGUCCUCCACAUGAGAUCUGGCAAGAUAAUCGCUCCAAGCGUCUGGAAAGAACACCUUGCUUUCCCUACUGCUCCUGAAGGAAUCAAGGACAAAUGAUGGAGACAGAGUUGCUCACCACCAUCUUGGCUGGAGAAGACACAGGAAACUCUUGGCACAACCACCUCUGAACCUACGCGCUCUGCCCUGUCUCUUAUGCCUCCUGCUCCCAGCCUGGACAUGGGCUUCUGUUAUACAGUGUGCCACAUUUAUUUCCUGCAUUAAAUCAGAGCC